CUGAUGGAUUGUGCCAUUUGCUAUAAAACGAUGGAUGAGCAAAUAGAAACUACUGCGGAGCCGUACGUUCACUGCAUCCAGAGACCGAGGCUCACAGAGGAAAUGACGACAACACGGAUGAACCAAUGGAAGAAGAUGACCUACAGAACCGGCGGUGCCACUAUUAUGGCCCUGUCCACUGGCUAAAGAUGCUCUUUACAUGCAAAGCAUCACACCAGACAGACUUCACACAUGCAUAAAUAACUCUGUCAAAAUGUCUGAUUUUCUUUUUCGUUUUACUGUUACAUUUGACAUAAAAAUCUCUGAUUUAUAUUCAUUUUAAGUUCCUAAAGUGACUUUAUUCCAAAUAUAGUCUUGUAACGCAGAACAUGUCACUUUCUCUGGAUGUAUCAGUAGAAAUAAGAAAUGUUUAAUCCUGGAUGUCAAAGAGAGGUUCAUUAAUUCAUUUUUAAUGCUCUUUACCAGCAUCAAUUCAUAUUAAAUUUGGGCUUUUGGUGAUGGAAUGGUUUUAUAACAUCAGAACAUUUCUAAAUUUAAUCUGCAAGAAAAGUUUCCAUAUGGAUGUAUAUUCAUACAUCCCACUAAUAUAAGGGUCUUGUAGUAAAAAUGUAAUAUGCAAAAUAAAGGUUUGACUUUUCAAACUCA